CUUAACCCGUUUUCCAUCAUCCGCAAAAGAGAGGGCAAGAGCUCGAACAAGUUCCAUCAAGGUACCUAUUCGAUAAACAUCCUGUAAACCACAAUAUGUGGUCAAAUGAUACAUUUAGAAAAAAACAAAAGAGCACAGAUCUGCAUACCAUUUCUGGGUUCAGCUCAGGAAUGUUGAUGUCAACCUAUUUGAUUUGGAAUGACAAACAAAAGCAUAUAUUAGCCUGCAAUCCAAGGGAAUUAAAAGCUUAAUAUUUUUACUUCUCAUCUUCCUACCCUUCGUUACUCUUUAUCAUUGAAUAUUAUGCAUGCAAUAAGAAUGUUGAUUUGUUUUACUAAAAGUAGGAAGUGCUAUUGCAUCACUAUGUUAUAAGGCAUCCUACCUAUGUUGUCACCCCAAAAUAACAACAAUCAUUUGCAGUACCAAAAAUAUCAUAAAAAAAGAUAAAAACAAUACAAAAACGAAGGGUUCUUUACCUUGAUUAUCUUUUUACCCAGAAGUGGUAGUUAAAAUCCUUGUGUGCUUACUCUCAACGGGAGAUUAAGAUAAGAUAACCAGAGUGUUUGGUAUACUCAUUAUAGCAGGAAGUGACAUUGAGAAUACUUGUCUUUCUAAUCUGAUUGAUUGUAGCAGAGAUACCUUUAAGAGUGUCUUAAAGAAAAACUGGGUGUAGCUCAUGGUUGUGUAGCACCAGAAUAAAUCACUUUGUUCUCAACUCAGUUAUAUUUGUGUGUAUAGAUCAUCAGUCAUUAGACCUUCUAGUGAUUGGCGAAAAGUUAUCGGUUCUAUUCAACCUCUCUUGUAAAGCUAGUCUGUUACUUUAGUUUUUUUCUGGUUUGAGCUUGAAAAAACAAAAAAUAUACAGCAGAAGCUGCUUUAUUGCUGCUACCACUGCUAUCAACAAAGUUCUGUGGUAGAGGAAGAUUUUAAUUGAGCUAAAACAUGUUGCAAAAGGAAAGCACAGAGAAUUUUGUUGACAACUAAACUGAAAUAGCCAUAUACCAUAAUCUCGUCUUUCAUGGAAAAACUAAGCAUUUCAACACUAACUUGUUUUUCUUAAGAGAGAAGUGCAGAAAAAUGUAGUUGUCACUGAAAGACCCAUGAAAAUAUUUACCUUAAUAAUAAAUAGUAAUAGCUUUUCCUUAUUAUUAUUAGUAGUAGUAAUAAAAUUUUAUAGGUAGAAACGUGAUGAAUGGGAUUAUAUAAAAGAAAAGAGGUAAGUAAAAUAAGGAAUUGUGGUAGCUCAUACGGUAGCUAUGUAAGUGACGGAGAGAUCCUUUUGGACUUGAACAUCCUCUAUUUCUAGUAUGUGAGAAGAAUCAAGUACAUACUUUCAUAGAUUAGAGAGGAGGCAUUAAAGCUAGUCAAGUUCCACGCAUAAAGGGCCCAAGAUAGAAUGAAGCAGUUGGCUGAUAAGAUGAGGAGUGACAAAUUCUAUGAUAUUGGUGAUUUCGUGUAUGUCAAGCUUCAUCCGUAUUGGUAUAUUUCUAUGGCAUUCAGAUCUAAUGCCAAACAAGCACCUAAAUACUUUAGGCCAUUUCAGAUUGUUGAUCAGAUUGGAGUGGUAGUUUACAAGUUGAGGCUUUCAUAAGGGUCUAAAAUCCAUUGAUGUUUUUCACAUUUUGCAGCUUAAAAGACAGGUUGGCCACACACCUGUUUCCAGAGGUUUAGACAGUGUUAUGCGAGCCAAGAACCUGAGCAAAUUCUAGAUAGAGCAACUGUAAAGAGGGGCAACAAAGCUAUUAGAAAAGUAUUAGUCAAGUGGAAGCACCAGUUAC
rnacentral:lncRNA from 1 species